CAGGAAUAUUACUAAAUUCUUGGACAUGUUUUGACCAUUUAAUACCAGAUAGAUAUAUAGUUCUAUGAGAAAAUAUGAGCCCUUUUGUACAAUUAAAUAUAUUAUAACUUAUAUUGAUCCCUCAUAAAACAUGUAAAAGGGAUAUUUAUAACAUUAAGGGGUUGCCCCCAAACUGAUUAUGAUUUGGAUGGAGAAUUGUCUCAUUGUCAGUCACACAUACAUAGACCAGAUUUAAUUAUUUCUUGGUGAACAGGGAAAAAAUACUUCAGAAAUUAAAGAAAUGUCAAAGUACAAGUGAUAAAUCAAGUUUUAAUAUUGUCAAAACCUAUUAUUUUAUGUUUACAAAAAAAAAUUAUAAUCGCUCGCCUUUACUUUUCAAGCUUCGCCUCAAAAAUUUGCAAAUUAAAUAUUUUUUUAUUAAAAUUUUCAAAUCGCUCGCUCGCCCCAAAUUUUGGAGUCCAAAAAUCCGUAGAACAAGAAAUUAAAUUGGUGUGGCCUAAUAAAAAGAAAAUAUUUUAAA
rnacentral:lncRNA from 1 species